UGGGGGGCGGGUGGAGGGGACGGGCAGGGAGGCAACCUGGGCAGACCGCCGUGCCCUCUCCCCUUCCCUGCUUCUCUGUUGCAACUCUAGGAACUAAACCCUAACCCCCCUGUCUCAGUUCCUGCUCAGGUUUGAACUCAGCACUAGUCGCAAAUGGGCUGGUCCAAACUGGUGCUGAAGGAGCCGUCAGAAACCGAGGAAAAUUGUGAAAGGGAUCUGUGAGCCAACAAGCCCAAUAAACAAAACAAUGAGACUCAUUAGGAGGCACCUGGGAGAAACAAACAGGCGUUAAUGAAUUGACUGAAUGAGUGAUAGAAGGGAAGAUAAAGGUGGCUGAGCAAGUCCCCGCUUGGCGAGGCGGCGAGUGUUCACUCCCAAUAUCUGGAGUUAAUUAAUGAACCUAACGAUGUGGGAUGACUCUGCACUUGAAUAAUAAGUAAUAAGCCCACUUGCACUGGUGCCUCUUGCACGCCUGCUUCUUCCCUUUGUUCUGAGACUCCUUGGUGGAGAAUUGACUUCAUUUCUGAAUGUUAUCUCCAAGGCUUUGACAGAAUUUUGUGAAACGUGAAUUUCCAUUAUAUGUGGUUUUAUGCAACUCAUGAUCCUUGAUGUAUUAACAAUGUGACUGAUUGCCAGGAAGCUAUGGGCAUAUUGGAAACAUUGUUUUAAAGCAUGCAAUUAAGUUAUGUUCAAAAAAUAAAAGCACUGACCAAACCAAAACAUAGACAUUACUUUAUAAAACCCAGACCCUCCAGUAGUAAUUUGCAACACAUCAUGUACUGACAUUUUAGUAAAAAUGGCUGUAUUCCUUU